GAUGAACGCUGGCGGCGUGCCUAAUACAUGCAAGUCGAGCGAACAGAUGAUGAGCUUGCUCCUCUGACGUUAGCGGCGGACGGGUGAGUAACACGUGGAUAACCUACUUAUAAUACUGGGAUAACUUCGGGAAACCGGAGCUAAUACCGGAUAAUAUAUUGAACCGCAUGGUUCAAUAGUGAAAGACGGUUUUGCUGUCACUUUUAGAUGGUUCCGCGCCGCAUUAGCUAGUUGGUAAGGUAACGGCUUACCAAGGCGACGAUGCGUAGCCGACCUGAGAGGGUGAUCGGCCACACUGGAACUGAGACACGGUCCAGACUCCUACGGGAGGCAGCAGUAGGGAAUAUUCGGCAAUGGGCGAAAGCCUGACGGAGCAACACCGCGUGAGUGAUGAAGGUCUUCGGAUCGUAAAGCUCUGUUAUUAGGGAAGAAAAAAUGUGUAAGUAACUAUGGACGUCUUGACGGUACCUAAUCAGAAAGCCACGGCUAACUACGUG
rnacentral:rRNA from 1 species